UCAUAAAACUCUCAAGUUCCUACCUAGAUCA
rnacentral:piRNA from 1 species